UACGUAGGGUGCAAGCGUUAAUCGGAAUUACUGGGCGUAAAGCGUGCGCAGGCGGCUUUGCAAGACAGAUGUGAAAUCCCCGGGCUCAACCUGGGAACUGCAAUGGAAACUGGCGGGCUUGAGUGCGGCAGAGGGGGGUGGAAUUCCGCGUGUAGCAGUGAAAUGCGUAGAGAUGCGGAGGAACACCGAUGGCGAAGGCAGCCCCCUGGGCCGACACUGACGCUCAGGCACGAAAGCGUGGGGAGCAACAGG
rnacentral:rRNA from 1 species